UCUGACCGUAAACGAUGCCAACUAGCGAUCCGCCGGUGGAUUUUUAGCCCUGGUGGGUAGCUUCCCGGAAACGAAAGUCUUCCGGUUCCGGGGGAAGUAUGGUUGCAAAGCUGAAACUUAAAGGAAUUGACGGAAGGGCACCACCAGGAGUGGAGCCUGCGGCUUAAUUUGACUCAACACGGGGAAACUCACCCGGCCCGGACACCGUAAGGAUUGACAGAUUGAUAGCUCUUUCAUGAUUCGGUGGUUGGUGGUGCAUGGCCGUUCUUAGUUCGUGGAUCGAUUUGUCUGGUUUAUUCCGAUAACGAGCGAGACUCUAGCCUACUAAAUAGUAACGAGAUUAUCAAUGUCUCAGUUGCUUCUUAGAGGGAUUUUCGGUGUUUAGCCGCACGAGAUUGAGCAAUAACAGGUCUGUGAUGCCCUUAGAUGUCCGGGGCUGCACGCGCGCUACACUGGCGAAAUCAGCGUGCUGUAUCCAUUCUCGAAAGGGAUUGGUAAACCCAUGAAAAUUUGCCGUGCUUGGGAUCGGAAAUUGCAAUUAUUUUCCGUGAACGAGGAAUUCCAAGUAAGUGCGAGUCAUCAACUCGCUCUG
rnacentral:rRNA from 1 species